rnacentral:rRNA from 1 species
ACGCGACCCCAGGUCAAGCGGGGCUACCCGCUGAAUUU